AGUAACGCGUGAGGAACCUGCCUCAAAGAGGGGGGAAACAGUUGGAAACGACUGCUAAUACCGCAUAAGCCCACAGCUCGGCAUCGAGCAGAGGGAAAAGGAGUGAUCCGCUUUGAGAUGGCCUCGCGUCCGAUUAGCUAGUUGGUGAGGUAAUGGCCCACCAAGGCGACGAUCGGUAGCCGGACUGAGAGGUUGAACGGCCACAUUGGGACUGAGACACGGCCCAG
rnacentral:rRNA from 1 species